rnacentral:piRNA from 1 species
UCUCCACUCCCACUGCUUCACUUGACCA